AGUUAAAAAGUGUUCUUGAUUUAAUCUAAAACAAGGUACAUAUCUGGUUGUUUCCUAUAUUCAAAGUUUGAAACAUCUGUAUCUACCUUUGUUUCGAUUAAACUAAAGAGCUACUAAGAAUAC
rnacentral:precursor_RNA from 15 species